UGGGGAAUAUUGGACAAUGGGCGCAAGCCUGAUCCAGCCAUGCCGCGUGAGUGAUGAAGGCCUUAGGGUUGUAAAGCUCUUUCGCCGGUGAGGAUAAUGACGGUAACCGGAGAAGAAGCCCCGGCUAACUUCGUGCCAGCAGCCGCGGUAAUACGAAGGGGGCUAGCGUUGCUCGGAAUUACUGGGCGUAAAGCGCACGUAGGCGGUUUCUUAAGUCGGGGGUGAAAUCCUGGAGCUCAACUCCAGAACUGCCUUCGAUACUGGGAAACUUGAGUUCGGGAGAGGUGAGUGGAACUGCGAGUGUAGAGGUGAAAUUCGUAGAUAUUCGCAAGAACACCAGUGGCGAAGGCGGCUCACUGGCCCGAUACUGACGCUGAGGUGCGAAAGCGUGGGGAGCAAACA
rnacentral:rRNA from 1 species